rnacentral:sRNA from 1 species
GGAGAAAGCAGCCCGACUCAGCCCCGAGAGGUUCGGUGUGCGGGCAGCGGCCAGGGACUUUGCGGGGUAGCGCGGACUCCUGGACUUCCAACAAGGGCCGCUGCGCAGGCGCUGCAAUCACUGCAGGAACUUGUCUGCAUGCCUGGUGGGGCUUGGAGUCUGGGGAGGCUUAUCAGUAAAGCCCAGAGCAUUUGCUAUUUAUUGCUCAAGGGGCACCUUUGUACAGUCUGGUCGUUUGCUUGGCAUGGCCUCUUAGAACUCCUUAUCGUUUAAGAAAUCCGAUCUGGUGAAUAAGAAGUUAGUCUUUCUCUCCCAGUCACUGCCUCCUGGACGAAUAUUUGCCAGCACGGAGGCAGAGAGGACAGAAAACCACAAGCCAUUUGGGGAACUGGGAACAGUUCAGUGUUUCUGGGGUGUGGGGGUGUCAAGGCGGGGGAUGGGGUUGAUGGAAAACAUUUGCAAUUUCUGCUUUACCUCACGAUUCCCAGCUCUGACCUCUGGACCUGUUCUCUCCCACCCCUAACAUAAAUCAUUUUAGUUUC